UGCGGGGUGGAGCAGUGGUAGCUCGUUGGGCUCAUAACCCAAAGGUCGUUGGUUCGAAUCCAGCCCCCGCUACCA
rnacentral:tRNA from 1 species